rnacentral:lncRNA from 1 species
UCCAGCCAUCAACGUGUUCCCACCGUGCCCACUAACCACAUCCCUCAGUGCCUCAGCUCUACAGUUCUUGAACACUCCAGGGACGGUGACUCCAUCGCCUCCCUGGGCAGCCUGUGCCACUGUAUUGCUGCUCUUUCUGAGAAUAAAUGUUUCUUCGCAUCCAACCAGCGUUGCAUGCUGGCAGCUCCUGACGAGCUGCCCUCAUGCAGUUGGGGAGGGCCACGGAGCUCUGGGGAACGCGGCAGGCCAUGCUUCCCUCGAGAGAUGGCAGCCCCUCGCAGCAGCCCCAGGGUGGCCACGUGCGUCCUGCCCUAUCCUGCUGCCGGCGAAAGCUCCUGCAGAUGAUGAUUAUCACAGCCUUCUCAUAAAGGAAACUGCUGCUCGUUGGAGAAAUAGCCACUUGCUGCCUACCAGUUGCUUCAGUGUUUCCAGUCUCAUUGGUCUGUUUUACAUUAGUGGGAUUCAGGGAUUUCAAGAGCUCUUUCUGACUUGCACCAAUCACUGUGAAGAAUCAAGUCCUAUGCUGAGAAGACGACAGAUGGAUGACAGAUGAUAUUGAAGCCUACUUUAGCAGCUAUGGAGAGUUUUGUGAAUCAGACCUGCACAUGCAAGAUUAUUUGAUUGGUACUGAACAUAUUUCAGAAUUAGUUGGAAGAUUUCAAAAAAUCUUGCAAAGCAUUAGGAGUUUUGCGUGUUAUAAAUAAUGUUGGAUCUUCACAGGAAUGUUUGCAGUUACAAAAAACCAACCUCGCGGAAAAUUGACAUUUGGUAUACUUAUUAAAAAAUGGAAAUAAGCUUGAAAAUGCAGCUGAAGGUAUUCUACUCUUGUUGCUCAUGUGUCAACUCUAUGUACUAAAAAUAAAUGUGAUCUGGCUAAAAUGAAUUAAAUGAUCCAUCUCACCAGUUCCUUUUUCCUGUGGUAUAUUUCAGUGGAAAAAUAC